GCUUAACUGAGCUGGGUAGUGAUCUGAGCAUUCUGUAUAAAAGCACUCAUACAUUGCCAAAACUACCUUCUAAGAUAGGAAGAGUCAUUUUCCUAGUUUUACAGAGGAACUUUUUAAAAAUACAGGAUCCUUGGCCAGCCCCAGAGAAUCUGGUAAUAUAAUUUUCAGAAUAAGAAUUAGAGAUUUUACUUAGCAGAUCCCCAGGUAUUAUCUGGUGAGGACUCAAGCUUAUGGACCACUAACCUAGAGUUUUUAAGGACUUAUUGAGGCAAUUCAGUAUCUCCUUUGCUAGUAGGAGAGAGGAAGAUAAAGACCUUCAGAGAGCUUAGCAUGGCUGGGGAGACAAAUGUAUCAUCAUCCAGGAGGAUCAUGCCUUCAUAGGUAAAAACUGAGCAUGCCAAAAUUCUGUGAGAGCAAUUAUUUUUUGAAAGAAAAUAUAAAGAAUUAAAAUCUUUAGAUCUUAGAAAGCAAGCAUUGUGUUUCAGGCCAUUUACAGUGAAUGCUCCCAACACUGGAUUUUUAUGUCCAAGGAAAAUCUAUCAAUUCAAAGAGCCAGUAAUUUGAAACCAAUGUGUUUAAAUAGAUUGUGUAUCUCCAAGAACUGAAGUGAGCUGUCGACCCUCUGGCAAGUCAAAAAGGAAAGGCAGAUGUUGACUGAGCAUAAUGACUUAGGAAAUGAGGCAAAUGCACGUGUUGUUUAUGGUUAGAGUAUAGGGCUUAUUUAAAUGUAACUGAAAUUUUAAAGCGGUAAUAUAAGGUAAUUUCCCCUAGAAUGAAAUGGAGUCAGUAACCUAAAGAAAUGCUUGAGGUAUAAUAGUAUCUCUUAAAUACAUUCAAACAUUCAAGUUUGUCAUCUCUAAGAACCAGACUGUAUUUUAUGGCACAGUUUUCCACUAUUCUUUUAUUUAGAUUUCUACACACUACUCUAAUAAUAUUUAUUUAACCAGUUGUAACCACCAAUCUAGAAG
rnacentral:lncRNA from 1 species